rnacentral:tRNA from 1 species
GCCGACAUAGCUCAGCUGGCAGAGCAGGGGUUUUGUAAACCUCAGGUCGGGGGUUCGAGUCCUCCUGUCGGCU